CCUACGGGAGGCAGCAGUGGGGAAUAUUGCACAAUGGGCGCAAGCCUGAUGCAGCGACGCCGCGUGCGGGAUGACGGCCUUCGGGUUGUAAACCGCUUUUGAUCGGGAGCAAGCCUUCGGGUGAGUGUACCUUUCGAAUAAGCACCGGCUAACUACGUGCCAGCAGCCGCGGUAAUACGUAGGGUGCAAGCGUUAUCCGGAAUUAUUGGGCGUAAAGGGCUCGUAGGCGGUUCGUCGCGUCCGGUGUGAAAGUCCAUCGCUUAACGGUGGAUCUGCGCCGGGUACGGGCGGGCUGGAGUGCGGUAGGGGAGACUGGAAUUCCCGGUGUAACGGUGGAAUGUGUAGAUAUCGGGAAGAACACCAAUGGCGAAGGCAGGUCUCUGGGCCGUUACUGACGCUGAGGAGCGAAAGCGUGGGGAGCGAACAGGAUUAGAUACCCUGGUAGUCCACGCCGUAAACGGUGGAUGCUGGAUGUGGGGCCCGUUCCACGGGUUCCGUGUCGGAGCUAACGCGUUAAGCAUCCCGCCUGGGGAGUACGGCCGCAAGGCUAAAACUCAAAGAAAUUGACGGGGGCCCGCACAAGCGGCGGAGCAUGCGGAUUAAUUCGAUGCAACGCGAAGAACCUUACCUGGGCUUGACAUGUUCCCGACAGCCCCAGAGAUGGGGCCUCCCUUCGGGGCGGGUUCACAGGUGGUGCAUGGUCGUCGUCAGCUCGUGUCGUGAGAUGUUGGGUUAAGUCCCGCAACGAGCGCAACCCUCGCCCUGUGUUGCCAGCACGUCAUGGUGGGAACUCACGGGGGACCGCCGGGGUCAACUCGGAGGAAGGUGGGGAUGACGUCAGAUCAUCAUGCCCCUUACGUCCAGGGCUUCACGCAUGCUACAAUGGCCGGUACAACGGGAUGCGACAUGGCGACAUGGAGCGGAUCCCUGAAAACCGGUCUCAGUUCGGAUUGGAGUCUGCAACCCGACUCCAUGAAGGCGGAGUCGCUAGUAAUCGCGGAUCAGCAACGCCGCGGUGAAUGCGUUCCCGGGCCUUGUACACACCGCCCGUCAAGUCAUGAAAGUGGGUAGCACCCGAAGCCGGUGGCCUAACCCCUUGUGGGAUGGAGCCGUCUAAGGUGAGACUCGUGAUUGGGACUAAGUCGUAACAAGGUAGCCGUACCGGAAGGUGCGGCUG
rnacentral:rRNA from 1 species